rnacentral:rRNA from 1 species
UACACACCGCCCGUCACGCCAUGGGAGGUUGGGGCUGCCUGAAGAGGCCGAGCUAACCUUAGGGAGGCCGGUCUCAAUGGUGGAACCGAUGACUGGGGUG